GAUGAACGCUGGCGGCGUGCUUAACACAUGCAAGUCGAACGGUGAAGGCGGAGCUUGCUCUGCUGGAUCAGUGGCGAACGGGUGAGUAACACGUGAGCAAUCUGCCCCUGACUCUGUGAUAAGCGCUGGAAACGGCGUCUAAUACUGGAUACGAGCUGCGAAGGCAUCUUCAGCAGCUGGAAAGAAUUUCGGUCAGGGAUGAGCUCGCGGCCUAUCAGCUUGUUGGUGAGGUAAUGGCUCACCAAGGCGUCGACGGGUAGCCGGCCUGAGAGGGUGACCGGCCACACUGGGACUGAGACACGGCCCAGACUCCUACGGGAGGCAGCAGUGGGGAAUAUUGCACAAUGGGCGAAAGCCUGAUGCAGCAACGCCGCGUGAGGGACGACGGCCCUCGGGUUGUAAACCUCUUUUAGCAGGGAAGAAGCGAAAGUGACGUUACCUGCAGAAAAAGCGCCGGCUAACUACGUG
rnacentral:rRNA from 1 species